GGGUAAAUAGUGUAGUUGGUUAUCGCGCCCGCUUCGCAUUUGAAUCACGUGACGUGCGGGAGGUGCUGGGUUCAAUUCCCAGUUUAUCCA